GAUGAACGCUGACAGAAUGCUUAACACAUGCAAGUCGAUGGGGAAGUGGUGCUUGCACCAUGGCAACCAUGGCGGACGGGUGAGUAACGCGUAAGGGACUUACCUGCAGGACUGGGAUAACAGGGGGAAACUCCUGACAAGACCGGAUAAUGUCAUGGAGCUGCAUGGCUUUAUGAUGAAAGGAGACGCCUGCGGAGAGCCUUGCGUCCUAUUAGCUAGUUGGCGAGGUAAUGGCUCACCAAGGCGAAGAUAGGUAGCCGGCCUGAGAGGGUGGACGGCCACAAGGGGACUGAGAUACGGCCCUGACUCCUACGGGAGGCAGCAGUGGGGAAUAUUGGACAAUGGGGGCAACCCUGAUGCAGCACUUCUGUGUGCACGAAGAAGGUUUUCGGAUUGUAAAGUGCUUUCAGCAGGGAAGAAGUAAGUGACGGUACCUGCAGAAGAAGCGACGGCUAAAUACGUG
rnacentral:rRNA from 1 species